AUUGAACGCUGGCGGAAUGCUUUACACAUGCAAGUCGAACGGCAGCACGGGGCAACCUGGUGGCGAGUGGCGAACGGGUGAGUAAUAUAUCGGAACGUGCCCAAUCGUGGGGGAUAACGUAGCGAAAGUUACGCUAAUACCGCAUACGAUCUACGGAUGAAAGCGGGGGAUCGCAAGACCUCGCGCGAAUGGAGCGGCCGAUAUCAGAUUAGGUAGUUGGUGGGGUAAAGGCUCACCAAGCCAACGAUCCGUAGCUGGUCUGAGAGGAUGAUCAGCCACACUGGAACUGAGACACGGUCCAGACUCCUACGGGAGGCAGCAGUGGGGAAUAUUGGACAAUGGGCGAAAGCCUGAUCCAGCCAUUCCGCGUGCAGGAUGAAGGCCCUCGGGUUGUAAACUGCUUUGUACAGAACGAAAAAGACUCUGGCUAAUACCUGGAGUCCAUGACGGUACUGUAAGAAUAAGCACCGGCUAACUACGUGCCAGCAGCCGCGGUAAU
rnacentral:rRNA from 1 species